AUAUCAUGGUGUGGACAUUUUCUUAUAAGAUCAUUAUAUCUUUCCCAUGCAUCAUGGAACUGUUCUCCCGGGAUUUAGGAAAAUGCCAUAAUUUUUCUUCUCAUUU